AAUAGAUACCCUGGUAGUCCACGCCGUAAACGAUGUCGACUUGGAGGUUGUUCCCUUGAGGAGUGGCUUCCGGAGCUAACGCGUUAAGUCGACCGCCUGGGGAGUACGGCCGCAGGGUUAAAACUCAAAUGAAUUGACGGGGGCCCGCACAAGCGGUGGAGCAUGUGGUUUAAUUCGAUGCAACGCGAAGAACCUUACCUACUCUUGACAUCCACGGAACUUUUCAGAGAUGAAUUGGUGCCUUCGGGAACCGUGAGACAGGUGCUGCAUGGCUGUCGUCAGCUCGUGUUGUGAAAUGUUGGGUUAAGUCCCGCAGCGAGCGCAACCCUUAUCCUUUGUUGCCAGCGGUUAGGCCGGGAACUCAAAGGAGACUGCCAGUGAUAAACUGGAGGAAGGUGGGGAUGACGUCAAGUCAUCAUGGCCCUUACGAGUAGGGCUACACACGUGCUACAAUGGCGCAUACAAAGAGAAGCGACCUCGCGAGAGCAAGCGGACCUCAUAAAGUGCGUCGUAGUCCGGAUUGGAGU
rnacentral:rRNA from 1 species